AGACCGCACCACAGGAUCGAGUGGUGUAAUUAGGCCUGGCUGUGAUUGGAUUACGGUCUACAAUGAAGAGUAAUGCUAAUUGGUGAUGUUUCCAGCUCUCUGAGCUGCUGUCCAUGGUCUUCCACAUAAAUGUCACAGAGCCAUCUGGGUUGAUCUGUAUAUGAUUCCCCCCCACCUGAUGUUUGAAUCAGACAGAUGCGAGAUCAGAGGCAUACCCCAUGUUAGGAUCCUCUUGUCACAGGGAAAAGUCACUGAGCAUCAGUACAAAGUUACAUUGAGGGAUCACCUUUAUCCUGGGAAUAAACUGUUAAAGAGGGGUUCCUGAAUAGUUUAGUAUGAAAAUGAUGUGAAUCAAAUGCUGUGGCCUUCAUAGUCACCAGUUCCCAACCCAGCUGAACACCUAAAACUAUGUGGGAAAUUCUGGACUGGCAUAAUAGAUGCUACUUGUUUGAUUAGCAUUUCAGAGACUUUUAGAAUCAAUUCCAGGAAACAGCUCACAAACGUGUCUUUGUCACCUGCCUGUACUGUACAUGUUGUUGUUUUGGUUCUGCUCUGUCAUUUUUCUCCUAAAUGAUGACCUCUUGUGAGCCUAUUUGGGCACAUAAUGUUA